rnacentral:rRNA from 1 species
AUUGAACGCUGGCGGCAGGCCUAACACAUGCAAGUCGAACGAGUGGCGGACGGGUGAGUCAUGUCUGGGAAACUGCCUGAUGGAGGGGGAUAACUACUGGAAACGGUAGCUAAUACCGCAUACCAUCAGAUGUGCCCAGAUUGGAUUAGCUUGUUGGUGGGGUAACGGCUCACCCAGGCGACGAUCCCUAGCUGGUCUGAGAGGAUGACCACCCACACUGGAACUGGGCCACGGUCCAGACUCCUACGGGAGGCAGCAGUGGGGAAUAUUGCACAAUGGGCGCAAGCCUGAUGCAGCCAGGCCGCGUGUGUGAAGAAGGUCUUCGGAUUGCAAAGCACUUUAAGUUGGGAGGCGUUACCAACAGAAUAAGCACCGGCUAACUUCGUGCCAGCAGCCGCGGUAAUUC